UCAAGGGAAAAAGAUGAAAACAAUUAAUGUCUCCAUAAGGGAAUAAAAUUCAGUUGCUAAAGUGUAAAGCCUAAGCUAGUGGGCAACAUAAUCUUGCAACCAUGUAAUCAUCAGACAAAUAAAGCAUAACAGAAGUGUUGAC